rnacentral:misc_RNA from 1 species
CCAAUAGCGUAUAUUAAAGUUGUUGCAGUUAAAAAGCUCGUAGUUGAACUUCGGGGUUUACUCAUUGGUCAGGCUUAAUUGUCUGUACUGGUGAGAUGAAUCUCUACCUUCUGAGGAACUUUCAUGUCAUUUAUUUGGUGUGAUUGGAAAUCAGGACUGUUACUUUGAAAAAAUUAGAGUGUUUAAAGCAGGCUAACGUCUGAAUACAUUAGCAUGGAAUAAUGAAAUAGGACGGACUGAUUCUAUUUCGUUGGUUUCUAGGAUCACCGUAAUGAUUAAUAGGGAUAGUUGGGGGCAUUAGUAUUCAAUUGUCAGAGGUGAAAUUCUUGGAUUUAUUGAAGACUAACUACUGCGAAAGCAUUUGCCAAGGAUGUUUUCAUUAAUCAAGAACGAAAGUUAGGGGAUCGAAGACGAUCAGAUACCGUCGUAGUCUUAACCAUAAACUAUGCCGACUAGGGAUCGGACGAAGUUAAUUUUAUAAUGACGCGUUCGGCACCUUACG